rnacentral:rRNA from 1 species
UACGUAGGGGGCUAGCGUUGUCCGGAAUCAUUGGGCGUAAAGCGCGUGUAGGCGGUCCGGUAAGUCCGCUGUGAAAGUUCGAGGGCUCAACCCUCGAAUGCCGGUGGAUACUGUCGGGCUUGAGUACGGGAGAGGCGAGUGGAAUUCCUGGUGUAGCGGUGAAAUGCGCAGAUAUCAGGAGGAACACCGAUGGCGAAGGCGGCUCACUGGUCCGGUACUGACGCUGAGGUGCGAAAGCGUGGGGAGCAAACAGG